ACCAGUGUGGUGUAGUGGUUUAAGUGUUGGACUAUGACUCUGCAGACCAGGGUUCAAAUGCCUGCUUGGCCA